GUUCUUCAGCUCUGGAGAUUUAAGAGAGAAUCGGAGGGUUCCUGGAAGAGAGACGUGAUCCUCUGGAUUCCCACCAUGGCCUGGGCCCCUCUGCUCCUCUCGCUGCUUACUUACUGCAUUGGUUUCAGUUCCCAGCAACUCCAGUCGCUGAAGGCGUCCGAGUUCGUGUCUCCUGGAGGGACCGUGACCCUCUCCUGCAGCCUGAGCAGUGGAGCCAUCGGUGAUGGCAACUACCCGUUCUGGAUUCAACAGAGACUGGGGAAUGUUCCUCGGCUGAUCAUGCACACUACGAGUACCAGGCCCUCGGGGAUCCCAGAGCGUUUCACUGGCUCCAGAUCGGGUAACACCAUGUCCUUGACCAUCACGGGGGCCCUGGCGGAGGAUGAUGCUGAUUAUUACU